AUACGUAGGUGGCAAGCGUUAUCCGGAAUCAUUGGGCGUAAAGGGUGCGUAGGCGGCUUCUUAAGUUUGUAGUGAAAUCGUAGGGCUCAACUCUAUCUAGCUACAAAAACUGGGAGGCUGGAGUGCGGUAGAGGCUAGUGGAAUUCCUAGUGUAGCGGUAAAAUGCGUUGAUAUUAGGAGGAACACCGGUGGCGAAGGCGACUAACGAGGCCGAAACGGACGCUGAGGCACGAAAGCGUGGGGAGCAAAUAGGAUUAGAGACCCAAGUAGCACACGCCGUAAACGAUGAAUACUAAGUGUUGGAGAAAUUCAGUGCUGCAGUUAACGCAAUAAGUAUUCCGCCUGGGGAGUAUGCACGCAACUGUGAAACUCAAAGGAAUUGACGGGG
rnacentral:rRNA from 1 species